UUCGAGUGGCGGACGGGUGAGUAACGCGUGGGUAACCUGCCUUACACAGGGGGAUAACACCUGGAAACAGGUGCUAAUACCGCACAAGCGCACAGGGCCGCAUGGCCCGGUGUGAAAAACUCCGGUGGUGUAAGAUGGACCCGCGUCUGAUUAGCUUGUUGGCGGGGUAGGGGCCCACCAAGGCGACGAUCAGUAGCCGGCCUGAGAGGGUGGACGGCCACAUUGGGACUGAGACACGGCCCAAACUCCUACGGGAGGCAGCAG
rnacentral:rRNA from 1 species